rnacentral:rRNA from 1 species
UUUCAACAACGGAUCUCUUGGUUCCGGCAUCGAUGAAGAACGCAGCGAAAUGCGAUACGUAAUGUGAAUUGCAAAUUCAGUGAAUCAUCGAGUCUUUGAACGCACAUUGCGCCCCCUGGUAUUCCGGGGGGCAUGCCUGUCCGAGCGUCAUUGCUGCC